rnacentral:rRNA from 1 species
UGCAAGUCGAGCGGUAACGGGUCCAGCUUGCUGGAUGCCGACGAGCGGCGGACGGGUGAGUAAUGCAUAGGAAUCUGCCCGAUAGUGGGGGAUAACCUGGGGAAACCCAGGCUAAUACCGCAUACGUCCUACGGGAGAAAGCGGGGGCUCUUCGGACCUCGCGCUAUCGGAUGAGCCUAUGUCGGAUUAGCUAGUUGGUGAGGUAACGGCUCACCAAGGCGACGAUCCGUAGCUGGUCUGAGAGGAUGAUCAGCCACACCGGGACUGAGACACGGCCCGGACUCCUACGGGAGGCAGCAGUGGGGAAUAUUGGACAAUGGGCGCAAGCCUGAUCCAGCCAUGCCGCGUGUGUGAAGAAGGCUUUCGGGUUGUAAAGCACUUUCAGUGGGGAAGAAGGCCUGGCGGCCAAUACCCGCCAGGGACGACAUCACCCACAGAAGAAGCACCGGCUAACUCCGUGCCAGCAGCCGCGGUAAUACGGAGGGUGCGAGCGUUAAUCGGAAUUACUGGGCGUAAAGCGCGCGUAGGCGGCUAAGUAAGCCGGUUGUGAAAGCCCCGGGCUCAACCUGGGAAUGGCAUCCGGAACUGUUUAGCUAGAGUGCAGGAGAGGAAGGUAGAAUUCCCGGUGUAGCGGUGAAAUGCGUAGAGAUCGGGAGGAAUACCAGUGGCGAAGGCGGCCUUCUGGACUGACACUGACGCUGAGGUGCGAAAGCAUGGGUAGCAAACAGGAUUAGAUACCCUGGUAGUCCAUGCCGUAACGAUGUCGACUAGCCGUUGGGUCCCUUGAGGACUUAGUGGCGCAGUUAACGCGAUAAGUCGACCGCCUGGGGAGUACGGCCGCAAGGUUAAAACUCAAAUGAAUUGACGGGGGCCCGCACAAGCGGUGGAGCAUGUGGUUUAAUUCGAUGCAACGCGAAGAACCUUACCUACCCUUGACAUCCUGCGAACCCUCCGGAGACGGAGGGGUGCCUUCGGGAGCGCAGAGACAGGUGCUGCAUGGCUGUCGUCAGCUCGUGUUGUGAAAUGUUGGGUUAAGUCCCGUAACGAGCGCAACCCUUGUCCCUAUUUGCCAGCGAUUCGGUCGGGAACUCUAGGGAGACUGCCGGUGACAAACCGGAGGAAGGUGGGGACGACGUCAAGUCAUCAUGGCCCUUACGGGUAGGGCUACACACGUGCUACAAUGGCCGGUACAAAGGGUUGCAAUCCCGCGAGGGGGCGCCAAUCUCAUAAAGCCGGUCUCAGUCCGGAUCGGAGUCUGCAACUCGACUCCGUGAAGUCGGAAUCGCUAGUAAUCGUGCAUCAGAAUGGCACGGUGAAUACGUUCCCGGGCCUUGUACACACCGCCCGUCACACCAUGGGAGUGGACUGCACCAGAAGUGGUUAGCUUAACCCUCGGGGAGCGAUC